rnacentral:lncRNA from 1 species
AGUUAGUUGUUUGAUUACAUGAAUGAGAUUCUCAAUGACUUUAUAUGAGUAAGUGCCAAAUGGGAAAACAUGCAGGUUCUGACUUGGGAUCCAGCUAGAAGUGCCCAGGUUGCCUUCUGAUAAAUUUUUGAAGCAUUAUCGGCGCUGCUUUUGCUUACAUGGAAGUUUGGGGGAUUUUUCUCAAAAGCAAACUUAUUAAAAUUUCAGUUGAAAUUUUGUCAGGUUUAAAUUCAGUAGCAACUAUAAUCCUUUUUCCUAACGACUUUGCCACAUGCAGAGUUGGCCUGGUUCAAAUGUAACACUAAGCUGGGGUCAAUAUGUUGCCUGUAGGUGCUCAUUUCUCUUUUUUUAAAAAAAUAUUUUUAUUCAUUUUCAAAACAAUUUUAUACAAUCAAUUCACAUUUUAUCACACAUUCGUCGAUUUUUUUACUUCCCUCAGUUUCUCUGCCAAUCUUUCAUUUAAAUUUAUAUUGUUAACGCAUUUCUAAACUUAAUAUUGCCUUUAAAUAUCACUUCUCCCUUCUUACUCUCUUUUUUACAAUAUUUCUUAAUUUUUCACAGAGUCUCUUGAAAACCAACAAGCGUUAUCUGUUCAUCACAUAUGCUUUUCAGAUAAUCUGUAAAUCUCCCCCAGUCCUCGAUGAACUUUUGGUCUCUCUGGUAUCGAAUCUUCCCUGUUAGUUUGUCCAAUUCUGCGGGUGCUCAUUUCUCUUUCACUUAGAAGGUCCCCUUCCCCCCCUAAAAGAAGCAUUACAUUGUCACCUUCAGAUGAGGUUAUGGUGUGAACUUGGUUGUAGUGUGUGUGGUGCCCACAGCGGUUUCUCCAGUUUGCAAUUACGUCCACAGGCCCAAAAAGGAUGGCAAGCCCUACGCAAAUCAACCUGUGGCUUAGUGUAAACAAGCAAGCAUGCUGUUCCAUGGAGCAAAAAUCAUGGCCGCUCCGCUCCUCCCCUGAUUCUACUGCUGCCACAUUAUAAGGAGCUCAGCCAUGGUUAGGCCUAGGAUUGCGUGUGAACCAGGACUCAUGGUUUUUUUCACUCCAAAUAUCCCAAGCACUGUAGCCAAGGUUUGUUCUUGGUUUACCCCUCGUGGUUUCUUUAAAGGAGAAGAAACCACAUACUUGGGUUCUCCAGUAGCACUAAACCAAACCAUGGCAUAGUUCCUUGUAGCAGGCCUAGGGAAAGAAAUGAACCCAUUGCACUCUUUGCUCUGCCAUCAGUAUACUUGCUCGUUCAUGCUUAGUAUUAUAUGUAACCAAGACCAUUAUAUUACUUGAAUAAUUUCAUUCGCUUUCAAAUCAUAUGGACUUGAGCUGUGUGCAUGUUUUAGUAUUUACAUUUUUGUUUUAAAGUAUGGCUGUGAUUCCCCCCCCCCUCAAUUUUAUUGUUUUAUCUUUUUGUAAACUGCUUUGAGAUUUUGUACAAUCAGGCAGAGUACGAAUUUUAUUAAAUAAAUAUGCAUUCAAACAAACAAUGGAGACACAAGCAGCUUUAGAGCCACAUCACACUCCAGAAUGGGUGGGCCACUGAUGAACUGAACAGUCUGUGAGACUAAGGCAUCCUCCCUCCUUCCUAAGUCUUGUAUUUUGUUCAGUUUAUUGAGAACUUUAAAACAAUUCUACAAUCUGUUUAAAUGCCUUUAUUCCGAAGCAAAACAUGUUAGCGGUACUUGGUGCUUGAUUGGGCUCUGACAGAUACUGGCACUUUACAGUGUGAUGAAAAUGGAGAUAAGAUUUGAUUAAACAGAGCAUCAAUAGAAACACUAGGCUUCCAUCUCCCUACAAUGAAUGUUAACAGGGAAGUGUUUUCCAAUUUGCAUUGCCGUUUAAGCAGCCGUGCCGUAAUCACUGAAACAGUGUAAUGACUUAAUCUCCCUAUGGAGUCACCCUGUUGUGGUUUUCUGAGGGAUGCUAGCCAUUUUCCCACACGGUAUACACCAUGAAAUUCAAAUAACAUGAAGAGAGAUGUAAUUCAUUUCUCUGUUGCCUUCUGCUGGGCUUCAUUCCCAGAGCCUAGAGCAAAGAUAUGCACACACACACACACGUACGUAUGUGUGAUAAUACUGCAGUCUCUGCACACCUGUUCUGAAUUAUCCACGGAAGUACCAUGGAGAGGGAGAAACUCAUCAUUGUUUUUCAGUGGGAUGGUAGGGGUGGAAAUAUCAUAAAUUUGUUAGGAUAAGAAAAAAGGGGCAGGGAAUCAGUUUUCGUAAUCAAGUUCGUAUUCACUAAUAACAUUUCCAAACCAUUUGCAUACUUCUGAGGUAAAUGUUGAAGCAUGGUUCAUAUGUUACUGGAAAGGAUGUGCUUGCCACUUUCCCAUGACCAUAAUACUCCAAUAACAUUUGGAGGCUAAACCAUGUGGGCUUUCUGAACACAUGGCUGCUCCUCAGGCCAGUGUCAGCAGCCAGGAUGCUGGGUGGGGAACCAGCAUGGGUAUUUAUUUAUAUAUAUUUAAAUUUUUCCACUUUUAUUUCGGGGAAGAAAACUGGAAACUGCUAAGAACAAAUCAAAAGACAUUAAUACAAUAAAACACACACAAGGGGGGGUGGGGGUGGGAGCGUGACAAGCCUUUGAAAACUUCCUGGAACAUUAUAAGAUCUUUAUUCUGAGGCUGGUGUUGGCUUGUUAGGCAUAUACAUGAGGUUAUUGUUGUAUUUUGUUCAGGAAGAGACACAUGGUUUAAAUGCAGAAGGUCCCAAGUUCAGUCUUCUGCUCUGCUUACAGAGAUUCCCUGGUAGACAAGCUGGGCUGGUCUCCGACUUGUAGCCAUGGAGAAUCCUUGGUGGUCAUGGAAGACGAUACAGGGCUAGACGACUCAAAGGGUCUGACUAAGGCAGCUUCAUGUUUAUCUGUUUUUAAGGCUUUAAUCCUAUAGUUGCUUACCUGGGAGUGAUCCCCCUUUAACUCAGCAGGACGUUGUUCUGAGCAGACAUGUAUAGGAUUGACCUGUGGGCCAUGUUACUAAGUGUCCACAACUUUGAGGAACAUGCAAGAAACAAGUGGAAGUAAUUAAAAAUGGGCCACGUCAUUGGAAAGCAGUCCUGUACAAGCUUCAUUAAAAUGAGCUCUGUGUGGUAGAACCUUUGUGCAGCUCCUGUUAAUUUUAAAGGGGCUUUCACACGAGAAGUUCCCUCUGGAUUGUGCCCAUAAUAUUUAAAUAUUUCCAGAUAAAAUUUUAAUGUAGUUUAUAGAUCUUUCUCUAAGUGGAUGAUGAAUCAUUGUUUCUCACAUUUUCCCCUUUUUGUAUUUUUAUUGAUUUUAAUAGAAACAAACAGCAUUACACACACAAAAGAGGAAAAAUCAACAAGGAAUGAUAGGGACAAAGGACAGCACAAAUCACAUAUUGUAUUCUGUGGCAAAAUAAAAUUUAACCCAAGAUAUAUAAAAUACAUUUGUUGUUAAAACAAAUUACUUUUGUGCUUUAAUUUUGUUUGACAUAGCACUGGGUGUUUUACACACAAAAAGGAAUACAUUUCUGAACAAAAUUUUGAAAAGAAUGAUACAAAGGAGUGUAUAUACACUUUAAAAAGUAAAGCUCAUGUUGCAUAAAUAGCUGGGAUUGAUUUAAAUCAAUUGAAGACUAUUUCAUCACUUUAAGUGCCUUCUCAGACAAAUGUCCAUUAUUACUCUGUUCCUGCAAUAUCGAGUGAUGACUCUGAAUGAAUGGGUCAUCACAGAUCAUUGUUUUACACUUUUAAAACAUUUUUAUCUUUCCCUUUGCUCAAAGACCUCAGGGCAACACACAUGAUAUCCUGCCCCCCUCCCCAUUUUACUCUUCCAGACUGAGAGGCCUGUUUUUUGGUGUGUUUUUUUUACUAGGAUCAAUUCACAGAUGUCGUUAUAGACCUGCUCACAUUUUGUGUUUUGCUACUGAAUUUUCUCCAUGUGAUCAUCCUUGAGUACAGUCAUACCUCAGGAUAAAUACUCUUUUUUUAUUAUUUUUAUAAAAUAUUUAUUGAAAUUUCCAAAGUGUUACAACAU